rnacentral:rRNA from 1 species
AUUGAACGCUGGCGGCAGGCCUAACACAUGCAAGUCAGACGAGCGGCGGACGGGUUAAUAAUGUAUGUGGCUCUGCCUGAUGGAGGGGGAUAACUACUGGACACGUACGCUAUUACCGCAUACACUCAUAUGCACCCAUAUGGGUUUAACUUGAAGGUGAGGUAACGGCUCACCUAGGCGACGCUCCCUAUCUGUUCUGUGAGUAUGCUCAGCCAAACUGGGACUGUGACACGGCCCAGACUCCUACGGGAGGCAGCAGUGGGGAAUAUUGCACAAGGGGCGCAAGCCUGAUGCAGCCAUGCCGCGUGUAUGAAGAAGGCCUUAGGGUUGUAAAGUACUUUCAGCGGGGAGGCGUUACCCGCAGAAGAAGCACCGGCUAACUCCGUGCCAGCAGCCGCGGUAAUAC